UGGCAUUGUAAAUCACACGUAUUUGAAAACUAUCAAGGAAAGAUAAUUAUCGGUCGACACUAUUGGUCGCCAGCUUGUGCUUAUUUGCAGUAUGGCGUACAUCCCUUACGGAAAGAGAAUGGUAACUUUAUACACUGUUGUUUGUGGAUAAGAUAUGCAGAGUGGUACCACCAAUCACCUAAGCCACCAUUCCCCUAACAGACAAAAGGCUCAUGGGGACAGUUCCUGCAGUUUACAGCAAAGCUCUCAAUUGUAGCCAUACAAACUUCAGAUACUGCCGAUGGUGUAGCUUGGGUGCACUGGGCCGGUUUUCCAGCCGUGUGGAAUCAACAUCUCCAGCUGAACUGGGGCCGGGAAUUAUAUAAGAAUCCUUAGCAGCAUGAGUGCCAGCCAGUCAUUGCUGUUCUUUGCAUUGCUCAGAGGAGGACAGUCCUGCCAACAUAACAGUUUGUUCAAUAACGGGAGACAAACAGAAACACAGAGGUGCUAUACAUUCCGAUGGAAAAGACAACAAAAGCAUCUCCCAUCAUUUUGGCGUGGCUCAGAUCAAGAGGAGAAUUUUAAGAAAGGUGAUGGUUGGGCACACACAAGAAGACAUAGAUCACAGGUGUCCAGGCAUAUGAGUAGACAGGAGUUUCACACUCUGCCAAACUUACUUCAUCAGAGGAGCAGAAAGCUUCUCAAGAUCCUGCACUGCACACUAAGACAUAGUCUUUGACUACAACAAGGGGAUGAAAGUACAGAGAGGUCCAAUUGAAAUACAUUCUGUGCUGCAUCAUUUCUUCAUUCUGGAAGUCGAUGGACAUGAUUUAUCAUGGCAUCAAGUGUGCAGUUUGUCGACUAUCAGCAGUCUUGUUCACCAGCUGUGCAACUUGAGCUGGUAGCUUUAUUGCUUGAAGCCACUGCAUAAGAGGGGGAAGGUGCAGGCUCAUCAAAAAGUCUCAAAAGUUGAAACUAGGAAAAGAAGUUUGUCAAGAGUGUGAAUCUAUUUGCUUUGAAAACAAACGUUACAAUGAUUUGGUUUCCUUUGAAACUUGAUACAUACUAUGUGUAUGUUGUAUGAAUUGAGAUGCUUAAAUAAAGAACUGCUAUUCAAAUAUCAGGAAACUGCAUUUUUCAUACUAAAUGGUGAAUGAUGUCGCCAUUUCCUGUAUGUAUUUAAAUAAGAAAUGAGAUUAAAUUGUACAGCAUUAUAUGAGCUUAAUAUGUGUUUUCUGUUUCUUUAAAAUUGGUGAAAAAUUGUCAGAAGAUAAUUAGACCAGUAUCCAUUACUGCAAUCAUACAAUCAAAUAUACAGGGACAAGCCCACUGGGCAUAUAAUAUAAUUAAACCCUGUUUAGGGGCACGAGGCAAACAGAGUUACUUUCAAAUGUUAAAGCUGCACUCUCACAUUUUGGACGUUUUGACAACUUUUCACAUUUUAUGUCUUGGAUUGGAACCUUCCAAUUUUUGCGAAAAAUUAAAUGGCAGAUUUUUCUAUUUAAGUUAAAACAUUGAUGUUUUAUGCACUUUUUUUAAACCGUUAGUAACAUUAAUUUUCGAACAGAAAUAUGAAAUCUGCAAUCUGAUCUUUUGUCAGCAAUCUUUUAUCAUUGGUUUGCAGAUAAUUACGUAAAAAUUUGCUCAUUCCAAGACAAAAAAAGUUGUGAAAACGGUAUAUCUGUGGGAGUGCAGCUCUAAAUGUUUAAUUGCUUGAUUUUACUACUGUAUUAGAAAUUACAGGGGUUGGGGCAUAUUUUUAGUGUUUUUAUUGCUUUUUUAUGAUUCAUACAGUCAUACUUUAUUCCUCAGGGCACAACUUACAAAUAGACAAAACUGGAAAAUGGUCAUAUCAAAAGGUCAAAGAUAAUGUAAGUUGAACAAUCAUAUUGUUCAUGGCUUGUAUUUUUGGUAUAUUUUGUUGCAUAUGCUAUAGAAAAGUUGAAAGUUAAAAAUAAAUUCAUAGUUGAAAUGAUGGCUUUGAAGGUAUUGUCAGAUGAGAAACGGCACUAUUAAGAAAUAGGUAUAAUGGUACUUUAUUUAUUUUAAUCAAUUUUAGAUAUUGUAUGAAGAUUAUUAUCUUAUUUAGUACAUGAGACCUUUUAAACAGUUAUUGACCUUAUAACAAUGUGUGUAUGAAGCUUUAGAUCAACACUUAAAGCUGCACUCUUACAGAUUGUCAGUUUAGACACAAAAUUGUCUCAAAAUCUGCUUGGUUAUCAUUC